rnacentral:sRNA from 1 species
UGUUGAAGUCUUUUUAGGGCCACUAUA